rnacentral:rRNA from 1 species
CGAAACUUCUUUAUCACCGAGUGCUUGCACUCACCGAUAAAGAGUUGAGUGGCGAACGGGUGAGUAACACGUGGGCAACCUGCCCAAAAGAGGGGGAUAACACUUGGAAACAGGUGCUAAUACCGCAUAACCAUAGUUACCGCAUGGUAACUAUGUAAAAGGUGGCUAUGCUACCGCUUUUGGAUGGGCCCGCGGCGCAUUAGCUAGUUGGUGGGGUAAAGGCUUACCAAGGCAAUGAUGCGUAGCCGAACUGAGAGGUUGAUCGGCCACAUUGGGACUGAGACACGGCCCAAACUCCUACGGGAGGCAGCAGUAGGGAAUCUUCCACAAUGGGCGAAAGCCUGAUGGAGCAACGCCGCGUGGGUGAAGAAGGUCUUCGGAUCGUAAAACCCUGUUGUUAGAGAAGAAAGUGCGUGAGAGUAACUGUUCACGUUUCGACGGUAUCUAACCAGAAGGCCACGGCUAACUACGUGCCAGCAGCCGCGGUAAUACGUAGGUGGCAAGCGUUAUCCGGAUUUAUUGGGCGUAAAGGGAACGCAGGCGGUCUUUUAAGUCUGAUGUGAAAGCCUUCGGCUUAACCGGAGUAGUGCAUUGGAAACUGGGAGACUUGAGUGCAGAAGAGGGGAGUGGAACUCCAUGUGUAGCGGUGAAAUGCGUAGAUAUAUGGAAGAACACCAGUGGCGAAAGCGGCUCUCCGGUCUGUAACUGACGCUGAGGUUCGAAAGCGUGGGUAGCAAACAGGAUUAGAUACCCUGGUAGUCCACGCCGUAAACGAUGAAUGCUAAGUGUUGGAGGGUUUCCGCCCUUCAGUGCUGCAGCUAACGCAAUAAGCAUUCCGCCUGGGGAGUACGACCGCAAGGUUGCAACUCAAAUGAAUUGAAAGAA